UUUAAUCGAAAUGAUGUUAAGUUGUUAGGUUAGGUUCAGAUCGAAUGACAAUUCUGAUCAGAUCGAUGUUCACUUGGGUCAAGUUUGCGCCAAGUUAAUAUUGAGUUGGGUUAGGUUUGUGUUAAAUUACGGUUAAGUCAGGUAAAUCUGGGCCAGGUUAGGUCAAUAUUAUGGUUGGAAUAGAUUUACCAGGUAUGCUGUUACACUGGUAUCGAGAUUAGUCUUCGAUCAGAUUAAGUUAAUACAUAAUCUGUAUUCGGUACAUCGAGCUGCGAGCUUAACACACAGGAAAACAUGUGGGCACAUUCAUUU
rnacentral:misc_RNA from 1 species